UACGUAGGGGGCAAGCGUUGUCCGGAUUUAUUGGGCGUAAAGAGCGUGUAGGCGGUCAGGUAGGUCCGUUGUGAAAACCCCAGGCUCAACCUGGGGACGCACCUGAUACUGCUAUGACUUGAGUCUGGUAGGGGAUCACGGAAUUCCUGGUGUAGCGGUGAAAUGCGCAGAUAUCAGGAGGAACACCGGUGGCGAAGGCGGUGAUCUGGGCCAGUGACUGACGCUGAGGAGCGAAAGCGUGGGUAGCAAACAGG
rnacentral:rRNA from 1 species